rnacentral:tRNA from 1 species
CCUCAGUAUUGAAGCAACAGAGUUAACAGAGAUGUUGAUGCGUGUUGUGGAGAUGAUCAGUUCCUAAACUUUGUCUAGGUCACACCCCACAAGGGUUGAGUUUUCCUGGGCCAUUAGCUCAGGUGGUUAGAGCGCACCCCUGAUAAGGGUGAGGUCCCUGGUUCAAGUCCAGGAUGGCCCAUUCGGUGUUGGGGGUUUAGCUCAGUUGGUAGAGCGCCUGCUUUGCAAGCAGGAUGUCAGGAGUUCGAGUCUCCUAACCUCCACUGACCGAACUCAAUCUCCGGUUUUACAUUGAUAGAUGGAGAACCACUCGAUUGUGUUGUGUGAUUUAGAUGUGUCCGCUGGAUGAUCCCAGCUUCCUGUCAUUCCAAAUGACCAUGAUAAUGAUGAUUAUCAUGUGAAUUGGUUGAUAAGAUGCUGGGCUCGAAUCAAAUGAUCAAGCAAUUGAUGUUUUGAUUUGAAGUCUGGCAGAACCUUGACAACUGCAUAGGUGAGUCUGGAUAAAACAAAGCAUCUUACAGAUGCAUUGUUUU